GAUGAAGAACGUAGCGAAAUGCGAUAAGUAAUGUGAAUUGCAGAAUUCAGUGAAUCAUCGAAUCUUUGAACGCACCUUGCGCCCUUUGGCCAUUCCGAAGGGCAUGCCUGUUUGAGUAUCAUGAACACCUCAACUCUUUAUGGUUUUCCAUGAUGAGCUUGGACUUUGUGGGUUUUGCUGGCCUAUGGUCGGCUCCUCUAAAAUAAAUCAGCUUACCAGUGUUUGGUGGGUAUCAUGGGUGUGAUAACUAUCUACGCUUGUGGUUUUUCCGCCAGGUAACCUUCGACAGCGGAGGUUCACUGGAGCUCAUAGAUGUCUCUCCUCAGCGAGGACAGCCCUUUGAAUGUUUGAUCUCAAAUCAGGUAGGACUACCCGCUGAACUUAAGCAUAUCAAUAAGCGGAGGA
rnacentral:misc_RNA from 1 species